rnacentral:rRNA from 1 species
UACAGAGGUCUCAAGCGUUGUUCGGAUUCAUUGGGCGUAAAGGGUGCGUAGGCGGCGCGGUAAGUCGGGUGUGAAAUCUCGGAGCUUAACUCCGAAACUGCAUUCGAUACUGCCGUGCUUGAGGACUGGAGAGGAGACUGGAAUUCCCAGUGUAGAGGUGAAAUUCGUAGAUAUUGGGAAGAACACCGGUGGCGAAGGCGGCGCUCUGGACCGAGACUGACGCUGAGGCGCGAAAGCGUGGGGAGCAAACAGG